AAAUCUAUAUUAAAUAAUUUGUAGCCUAAAAUAACGCCUGUAUUUAUGGCUCCUAAUUAAUCUUUGAUUUUGUACCAAAUAAAUGCUAAUUCAGUUAAGAUAAAAAUCCCUUCAAUUAAUCAUACUUUCUUAAAUGAGAACCUACUGUCAAGCUUGGAAGGGAUUUUUGAGUGUUUGAUGAAAAUAAACAAAAUUAUGAAAUUAUGAUUUGGCAAUCCUAUUCAACUAACCCAAUCAAGGAAGAAGCUUUUAAAAUGUAG
rnacentral:lncRNA from 1 species